rnacentral:misc_RNA from 1 species
AAAGUCGUAACAAGGUUUCCGUAGGUGAACCUGCGGAAGGAUCAUUAUUGAAUAUUCUUGAUGGGUUGUAGCUGGCUCUUUGGAGUAUGUGCACGCCUGUCUUGACUUAAUUCAUCCACCUGUGCACCUUUUGUAGUCUUGGGGGUUGAGUGCAGUCGACUGUCGGACGGCUAUUGUAGUCUAUCCGGAUGUGAGGAAUGCUGAGUGCGCAAGCAUACGGCUCUCUUCAAAAUGACUUGCAAACCCUCUCCCUCGAGUACUAUGUAUUCAUAUACCACUUAGUAUGUUGUAGAAUGUGAUCAAUGGGCCUCUGUGCCUAUAAUAAUCAUAUACAACUUUCAGCAACGGAUCUCUUGGCUCUC